rnacentral:rRNA from 1 species
GUAAUGCGUGACCAACCUGCCCCAUGCUCCAGAAUAGCUCUUGGAAACGGGUGGUAAUGCUGGAUGCUCCAACUUGACGCAUGUCUUGUUGGGAAAGUGUUUAGUGGCAUGGGAUGGGGUCGCGUCCUAUCAGCUUGUAGGCGGGGUAAUGGCCCACCUAGGCUUCGACGGGUAGCCGGCCUGAGAGGGCGGACGGCCACAUUGGGACUGAGAUACGGCCCAGACUCCUACGGGAGGCAGCAGGU